CAACGUGCCAGCAGCCGCGGUAAUACGGAAGGUCCGGGCGUUAUCCGGAUUUAUUGGGUUUAAAGGGAGCGUAGGCUGGAGAUUAAGUGUGUUGUGAAAUGUAGACGCUCAACGUCUGACUUGCAGCGCAUACUGGUUUCCUUGAGUACGCACAACGUUGGCGGAAUUCGUCGUGUAGCGGUGAAAUGCUUAGAUAUCACGAUGAACUCCGAUCGCGAAGGCAGGUGUCCGGGCUGCAACUGACGCUGAGGCUCGAAAGUGUGGGUAUCAAACAGGAUUAGAUACCCUGGUAGUCCACACAGUAAACGAUGUAUACUCGCGGUUUGCGAUACAGUGUAAGCCGCCAAGCGAAAGCAUUAAGUAUACCACCUGGGGAGUACGCCGGCAACGGUGAAACUCAAAGGAAUUGACGGGGGCCCGCACAAGCGGAGGAACAUGUGGUUUAAUUCGAUGAUACGCGAGGAACCUUACCCGGGCUUGAAC
rnacentral:rRNA from 1 species